GAAAUAAUAAGCAGAAAAGCACAUUGGCUGGCAGAAGGCCAGAGGUUUAUGUUAGGAGCUCAAGCAGUUUCCACCUAAAGCCAGCUUGCUACAUUUCCCAGCAGGGGCAUUGCUUACAGAGCUGAAUUACUUUCAAGGAAAAGAACUCACUUACAAACGCUUGUGAAGCAGCAGCUGUUCUUCUCAUCCUUCUCAAGCCCAUCACCACUGCUGGCACGUAGGCCACCUACAGCAGCUCUCUCGAGUCCUCUGUCCUGGGCCAGAGAUCGAUCGACCCCAUGGCUUCCACUUUCACCACAUAAUUCCAUACGUGUUCUAGACUCCCGUACCUCCUUCCUGGUGGUGGUAAUGAGAAGAGAGCAAUUCCUGAGAGAUGGGGAUCCUUAACGAUGGAAGUCACCUUUUUGAGGCUCCUUGAAGAUGCCCUGGAUGCUACGGAGGCUACUGCCCAUGACGGAGUUGACUGAGUUCACAACAGGAAGGUGACUGUAAUUCAAAUAACCAUAAAUACAACAGUGGCAUGCAGAAGAGCUUCCCUGAACAGACAACACGUCAAACUUUUAAGUGGAUGGGCUACAGCAGCAGAUGUUACGAACUGAGUGUACACUCAACAGCCACUUGAUUAGGUACAGGAGGUACCUAGUAAACUGGCCACUGAGUGUAGAGACAGGAGAGACCGUACAUGCAGGAACCUGAAGUGAAAACUAAACUUCUGGAAGAACUCAGAACUUCGAGUGUUAUACAUAGAGGGAGAAACACACAAAAUAUUGGAAGAACUCAGCAGGUCAGGCAGCAUCUAUGGAGAAGAAUAAACAGUUGACGUUUCAGCCUGAGACCCUUCAUCAGGACUCUUCAUAUUAGUGUUUAUGAGGGAAUUAGACAGUUGAUGUUUCAGGGUGAAUACCGAAGUACUUGCACUUAAGAGAGUAAUAGUUAUAGAGCAAUGCAGCACAGCUACAGGCCCUUUUGGCCCAUCUGGUCCAUGCAAAACUCAGUGUCCACCCAGUAAUCCCAAUUUCCUGUGUUCACCCAUAUCUCUCUAAGUUCCACCCUUCCACGUACCUGCUCAAGUGCUUCUGAAAUAAUAUUGUACUGGGAUCAACCACUUCCCCUGUCAGUUUAUUCCAUUUACCCACCGCUGUCUGCCUGGAAAAAGUUAUCCCAAAGAUAACUCUCUCCUCUCUCUCCUAAACCUAUGCCCUCGGGUUUUGGACUCCACUACCCUGGGGAAAAGAUAGUUACCAACCACAUUCUCUCCACCUCUCAUAAUUUUAAACAAUUCUAUAAGAUCAGCCCUAUUUUCUUACAAUCCAAGGAAAAGAGACCUAGCAUCAUCAACCUCUCCACAUAACUCUUUCUCUAUAAAAUUUGGUUUUUAUGAUCCAAAGACAAUUCAAAAACAUCAGCUACUGCAGGUCUACUCUACCAAUGAGCUGCUCGUUGAUUGGAGUGGCUGAACUUUUGUCAGUGGUGGAGCCAGAGGGGUUGGCCGAAUUGUUGAAGGAGAAUUGUUGUGAUAUCCGAGGAGCUGGUCAGGAUGUCAGAGGAGCCGGCUUGGGUGCAGGGGAGCUGACCUGGUUGCAGACCGUCUUGCUGCCUGCUAUUCGGAAGCACUGGGGUUGGUGCAGUAUAACCAUAGGAGACAGCAUUGGACGUUUCAUUUGCGACCGCAAGACUCUGUUGGACAGGGGUAAUGCAUUGGGACUAGAUGGUGUUAAACCCAAGCUCCUGAUGGAAUGUACUGAGCAGCUGUUCUCCAGUGCACUUUCAGUCGAAGUCGUAACCUGGAAAGGGUCCUGACUGUGUGGAAAACAUCAUGUGUGGUUCCAGCACCCAAGAAAGGCCAACUGAGAAUCUUGAAUGACUACCGUCCAGUGGCCCUGUCCUCACACAUCAUGAAGACUUGAGAGAGGCUUGAGGUCGUGGCUUAUGUCCGAUCCCUGGUGAAAUCAGCCCUUGAUCCCCUGCAGUUUACCUACCAGGACCACACUGGAGUUGACAAUGCUGUCAUCUACCUGCUGAAUGGAGCCUACUCCCACCUGGAUAAGCAGGGCAGCACUGUGACGAUCAAACUUUUUGAUUUCUCAAGUGCCUUCAAUGCCAUACAACCCUCAUUGCUGGGGGACAAGCUCCGUUCAAUGCAGGUUGGCUCUUCCAUUGUGUCCUGGUUAAUGGACUACCUGACUGGUAGAGCUCAGUUUGUGCAGCUUCAGAACUCUGUGUCAGACAUGGCAAUAUGCAGAACUGGGGCCCCAUAGGGGACUGUAUUGGCUCCUUCCUGUUUACUCUGUAUACCUCGGACUUUAGAUACAACACUGAGUCAUGUCAUCUGCAGAAAUUCUCUGAUGACUCAACAAUAGUCGGGUGUAUAAAGGGAGGACGGGAGGAUGAAUAUGUGACCCUGGUAGAGGACUUUGUCAAAUGGUGCAAACUGAAUCAUCUACAGCUCAACAUCGAUAAAACAAAGGAGAUGGUGAUGGACCUUAGGAAGACUUCCUGUUGCUAUUGAUGGUGAAGACGUGGAUGUGAUGAGGACCUACAAGUAUCUGGGGUGCACCUGGAUGACAGACUUGCAUGGAGCACCAACACAGAGGCUGAGUACAAGAAGGGCCAGAGUCAUCUCUACUUCCUGAGGAAUCUGCGGUCCUUUGGAGUAUGCAGGCCUCUCCUUCACAUGUUCUACCAGUCUGCUGUCACCUGUACAAUCUUCUAUUUGGUGGUGUGCUGGGGCGAUGGCAUUCACACAGGUGAUGCCAAAAGGCUCAAUAAACUGAUUGGAAAAGCUGACUCUGUAAAAAGAUUGAAACUGGACACACUGGAGGCUGUGGUAGAACAAAGGACCCUAAGGAAAAUCCGGGCAAUUCUGGACAAUGUUUCUCACCCUUUGCAUGCCACUAUGGCUGAACAGAAGAGCAUAGAGGAGCACUGCUCCAAAGAGUGCUCUAUGAGGUCAUCCUUACCCUCAGCCAUCAGCCAGGGUCAACCUAUAAUGAAUUAACCUAUAGCCAGGGAAGUGAUGACCCCCUCCUGUUAGACAGUUUGAGGUAACUUACUUUUUAUUCUUUCUUACUCAUCUAAUAUUUAUAUAUUUAUAUCUGUGCACUUGUAAUUUCCUUUGGAAUCAAUAAACUAUCUAUUUAUGUAAGUUGCCUCAGACCUUUUACCCUUGUCUUGUGGAGGGACAGUGGACAUGGGAACUCAGUUGUAGUGAGAGCUAGGCCUCAAGCCUCGGGCUUGUCUGCUGCUGCAGGCCAGGUGAGAGAUGCGAAAGCGCUGCAGUAUGUUUGAGCUUGGCUUGGGCCUUGCCUCACCCAUUGGUGCUGCCCUCCUGUGUUCAAGCAGUGGAAUGAAGGGCUAGAUUGCAUAUGUCUGUACAUUGCCUGAAGACAGUACCAUUGAUUGCUGGGCAUGUUGCUCAGGAUCUUGGAUUAUGUACUUUUUUCCAAGAAAAUAUGCUUCUUUCCUUGAUAUUUUGAAUUAUAUUACUCACUAUUUCUGAACCUCAACCCCAGAGGGACACCGUCUCAUUCAGCUGUACCUAUAUAUGGUUUGAAUGAUAAUUAAACUUGAUUUGAUUUGAUUACAAGAUUAUGAGAGGCUUAGAGAGAGUAGGCAUACAGUAGCUAAUACCAGAUAGUGGAAGUGAAAGGGGGUGACUUCAAAGGAUGUGAGGGGCAAGUUUUUUUACACAGAGAGUGGUGGGUGCCUGAAAUGCACUGCCCAGAGUGAUGGAGGAGGCAGAUACGUCAGGGGUUUUUAAGAGCUGUUUAGAUAGGCACAUGAAUGUGGGAGAAAUGAAAGGCAAAGGACAUUGUGCAGGCGGAAGAUAUUAGGUUACAUUUUAUUAAUUUAAUUGGUUUGGCACAAUAUCAUCAGCUGAAGGGCCUCUUCCUGUUCUGCAGUAUUCUAUUUUCUAAGUAUAUAGACCAUCCUGACAACUCAUUCAUGUGAGCUAUCGCCUCACACCAUCACCUUAACUUACUAGUCCUUGUCCCUUCAUCAUUCUUCCUGAUCAUUGUGUCAUGUCAAUCACUUUCACAGUGAUAGCUUCUUUGGGUAAUAAGAUAAGGAUUCACUAUGGGAUUUAUUUAAGGUUAUCUUGGCUCUUUGAACUCAUGUUCCAGUAUCACUGAUUGCUGGUAAGACCACCAUGCCAUACUGACUAAACUAUUACAGAACUAGGCGACACUUAAAACUUUCCUUGAACUGCUGCUGCUAAGUUAACAAAUUUCAUGACACGUGCUGGUGAUAAUAAACCCGAUUCUGAUUCUAUAUCAGUCGAGAUGAUUGAGAGCUUCACGUUCCCACGAGUGAACUUCACUAUUAAGUUGUCCCGGUUCAGCCACGUCAAGAAAAUGUGCUGGCAUCUCUACAUUUUCAGGAUGCUGAAGAAAUUGGUGUGUUUGAUCCUCAACAAUUUUAAUCAGAGCUCCUCAGGUGACGUUCUGUGGGCUGUAGGCAAUACCCCCUCCACUCAAGAAAUGCUCUCUUCUCACUGCUGCCACCAGAAAGAACGCAGAGGAACCUCAGGACUCGCUUCACCAGAUUCAGGAACAGUUAUUUACCCUCAACUAUCAGGAUCUUGAACUAAAGGGGAUAACUUCACUCAGCUUAACUUGUCCCAAUCAUUGAAACACUCCCAUAGUCUAUUGUCUCACUUUCAAGGACUCUUCAUCUUGUGUUCUCAAUAAUUAUUGCUUACUUAUUUAUUAUUGUUAUUUCUUUCUUCUUGUAUUUGCGCAGUUUGUUGUCUUCUGCACACUGGUUAAAUGCCCAAGUCAGGUAGUCUUUCAUUGUUUCCGUUAUGGUAAUUAUUCUAUAGAUUUAUUGAGUAUGCCCAAAAGGAAAUAAAUUUCAGGGUUGUAUGCCAUGACUUACAUGUACUUUGAUAAUAGAUUUACUUUGAACUUUGAAAUUUGAGAAAGCAUCCUAUCCAGAUGCUUCAAGGUUGGUAUGACAACUGCUCUGCCGCAGAUCGUGAGAACUACAGAAUAUUGUGCACUCAGCUCAGCACAUCAUGGAAACCAAUCUCACUUCCAUGGACUGUCUCUACCUUCUCAGUACCUCAGUAUGACGGCUGGCAUAAUCAAAGGCCCCACCCUCCCCAGACAUUCUCACGCCUCCCCCCAUCAAGAAGCAGUUACAAAAGCUCGAACACACCUACCAUCAGGCUGAAGGGCAGCUUCUACCCCAUUGUUAUCACUCUUGAACCGACAUCUUGUAUGACAAAGGUGGACUCUUGACCUCUCAAUCUACUUAGACAGGGUCUUUGCACAUUACUUGUCUGCCUACACUGCGCUUUCUCUGUAACCACAACAAUAUAUUCUACAUUCAUCGGUGGCGAGUGUGGAAUGAGCUGUGUUGACAAGUCUCUGCAGUUUCUUGUGAGCACGGGCAAACUAAUUGCCAUACCAAGCCACAAUGCAUCAAGAUAGAAUACUUCACAUGGUGUAUCUAUAAGGAUUGGUGAGGGUCAUCAGAGACCCUUCAAACUUCACCUCAGACCCACCUCUUUGGUCAAACCUUUAAUCUAUUUGGUGUGUAGUGCAAGAUCACAUUUGGCUUGGUUGUUGACCCUAACAACUAUCUACAGACACAAUUGUUCUUGAUUCUCAUUCAGAAGUCACAUCUCAGUACAGCAGUUAGCAGGUGCUGCGUAGCUGUGGUUCUGGUCAUGCGAGACAAAACGGUAACAUUGCCAGCUCAUGUGCACUGAAUUUAAAAAAGCCGGGCCUAGGGGAUAUUUCCAGUUGUUGACCUCUAGAAACUGAAUUUUAUAUAACACGCAAAAUGCUGGAGGAACUCAGCAGGUCAGGCUGCAUCUGUGCAAAGCAAUAAGCCAUCGAUGUUUCAGACCGAGACCUUUUGUCAGGACACUCCAGUAGGUGUUACUCUGGAUUUUCAGAACCUGCAGAAACUCUUCUGUUACAGAAUUUUAUUUUGUUUUUCCUUCUCUGACUUCAGCCCAUUUGUAGGAUGUAAAUUAAUGAUAGCCUUUUUUUUAGGUCCAUUGCUUUAGGGUUCUCCCAGAAUGUCUGAAAGCCACUUAAAUAAUGCUCUGUUAUGUGCUGUUUCUCGCUUGACUAUUUGUUUUUCAUUGUUUUGCUGUUAGUUGUUGACAGAAUCAUGAUCAAAGAGAGAUCCAGCAUGGAACAGGCCCUUCAGCCUGUUCUGUACAGACCACAAAGCACCCACCAAUUUUUUAUUUAAAUUCUAUCCAACCCAUUUUAAUCCACCACUAUCCUCAUCAACCCCAACUAGAUUCUACCACUCAUCCGCACACUGAAGGGCAAUUUACAGCAGCCAAGUCAUCUCCAUAGGUACUGGGGUGGAGAUCUGUCUCUAUCGAAGAAGGUGUGAGGCAUCUCUUCCCUCUGCUACCCUGCAGGUCACCCUGAUCAUGGUCAAGUGAAACCAUGGGAGCAGGUGGUGGAUGGUCAUAUAAGUGGCUGGUGCAUACCACAAGCCCUGGUGAUGCAACCAUUGAUGCCAAGCAGACAAUCUCUGAUAAUGGCUGGGGUCACACGGCUUGUAAAGACACUGUCCAGAAGAAGAACGUAAUUGCAAACCACUUCACUUCAGUAGAAAAAUUUGCCAAGAACAAUCAAGGUUGUGGAAUGACCAUGAUCACCUACGUCAAAUAGUACGGCACAUACCGGACAAAUGAAUUAACCUCCCAAUCUGUAUAAAUGUGGGAUGUGGGAGGAAAUGGGAGCACCUGGGAGAAAGCCAAGAGGUCGCAGGGAGAACAUGAAAACUCCACACAAGCAAAGCCAGAGGUCAUGAGUGAAUGAAGCUCUAUUCAAUAUGCCAUAAAACCAUAAGACGUCGGAGCAAAAUUAGACCAGUAGGCCCAUUUAAUCUGCUCCACCAUUUGAUCAUAGCAGAUUUAUUUUCUCUCUCAAUCCCAUUCUCCAGCCUUCUCCCUGUAACCUUUGAUGCCCUGGCUAAUCAAGAAUGUAGCAACCUCUGCUUUAAAUGUACCCGAUAACUUGGCCUCCACAACUGUCUGUGGCAAUGAAUUCCACAGAUUCUCUAGCCUCUGGUUGACUUCUUGAACUAUGCAUGUUAUCAUCUUAUACACCUCUAUCAAGUCACCUCUCAUUCUCCUUCUCUACAAAGAGCAAAACCCUAGCUCACUCUACCUUUACUGAUAAGGCAUGCUCUUUAACCCUGGCAUACAUUCUUUCUAAUUGCAUCAUUAUAAAAUAUAGAACAUGGCUCAUAAAGCAGUACAGCAGAGUAUAGUUCCUUUGCCCCAUAAUGAUAUGCUGACCUUUAAACUUAUUCAAAGAUUAAUCAAAUACCUCCUUCCUACAUAGUCUUACAUUUUUCUAUCAUGCAUGCGCCUAUCUAAGAACUCCUUAAAUGCCCCUAAAGUACAGUACUGUGCAAAAGUCUUAGAUACAUAUAUAGUGUAUGUAGCUUGAGUGCCUAAGACUUUUGCCUCUACUGUAAAUAGCAAUGAGGUUCGCUCCCUGGUGAGCUCGAUACAUUUAUAGUUGUUGUUAGGGAGUAUUCUGGAAUUAUGUAAACGCAGCAGAUAAUAAUUCAAGCAAGAACCCGUCUUCAGUUCCUAAAGUAAGUUGUAAAUUGCAAACAGUAAAUUGAAGUUACAGUACUGUGCAAAAGUCUUAGGCACGCUAGCUACAUAUAUGUGUGUCUAAGACUUUUGCACAAUACUGUAUCUACCUCUGCCACUACCUCUGGCAGGGCGUUUCAUGCACCCACACUUUGUGUAAAAAUCUUAUCUCUGACACUCCUCCAAACAUCUUAGAACAAUACCCCCUUGUUUUAGUCAUUUUGCCCUGGGAAAAAGUCUCUGAUUGUCCACUCAAUCUAUGACCUUUAUCAUCUUGUACACCUCUAUAGUUGUUCUCGUGCCUCAGACUUGUACAGUGACUGGCUGAUCUGAACUUCCUUAACCGACAUCACCACCCAGAGUCAAGACUAUGCCUCCAUAUUUAACAACUUGUCUGAGGAAUCAGAAAGUCACAUUGGAAGCUCUUCGUAAUGCAGAUGGAAACGUCAUCAAUACAUCACAGCAUGACUUAGCUGAAUGGACUGAAUGAUAAAGGGUUAGACUUUGUGUAAGUGUUAUAUUGCUUUUAAAUGAGAGGGCAUGUUAAGGUAAGCUUUAACAGAUUCAAAUGCAGUAUCAUUUUUUUCACACAGUAACCCUCUUAAAGUUCGCAAUUUUAAAAUUCAUCCAUUACCAUUUCUGUUUCACUUUUAGCACAAUGAAACAUCAGCAGGUGUGUCAAAGGAAUGCUGAUAUUAAGCUAUAAUGGGCCGUUUUAGAAUAGGAGACAAAAAGAUUAGGACUACUUGGCACAGAAGGAAGUCACUCUGCCCAUGGGGUUGAUGUUGGAUCCCAGCAGAGCGACAUCAUUUCCCUGCAAUGCAUUCCCUCUCACAUAUCCAUUAACCUCCCCUUCUACUCUUUUAAUAUUUACCUAACUUAAAGGCAUUUGUUAUUCCUAAUAAACCUACCAGCAUAUAGAGCAUAGAACAGCAGAGCACAGGAACAGGCCCUUCAGCCCACAAUGCUGUGCUAAACCAAUUAAUUUAGUAACCAAACGGCCAACUACACCAAUCCCUUCUGCCUACACAAUGUCCAUAUCAUUCCAGUUUCCUCAUUCAUGUGCCUAUAAAACAUGUCUCUUUGCAAGUGCAAUUUUGAAGAAAGUGCAGCAACACUAUCACUAUCCUAAGGAGUUUGUGAAGCUUUUGCAUGAUAUCUGAAACUUUGACAAACUUCGAUAGCCAUAUAGUAGAGAAUAUAUUGACUGGCUGAAUCACAGCCUGGUAUGGAAACACUAAUGGCCUUGAAUGGAAAAUCCUACAAAAAGUAAUGGAUAUAACUUGGUCCAUCUCGGGUCAAGUCCUCUCCACCAUUGAGAAUAUCUACACAAAGUGUUGUCACAGAACAGCAGCAUCUGCCAUCAGUGACUCCCAUCAUUCAGCCCAUGCUCUCUUCUCACUACUGCCAUCUGGAAAAAGGUACAGGAGCCUCAGGAUUUACACCAUCAGGUUCAGGAACAGUUACUAUCUCUCAGCCAUCAAACACUUGAACAAAAGGGGAUAUCUUCAUCAACUUCACUUAACCCAUCAUUGAAAUUUUCCCACAAAGUAUGAGUGGUGUUAUCACAUGUCACGUGUAACAAUGUGAUUGGGCGGAGCUAUGAGCAUGCGCAGAACUGACAGAAUGAUCUAGGACCUUGUAUGGUUAAAAUGUGGUUGCGGUUUGCUGUUAAGUAAAAGUUCUAGUUAUGUUCUUCCAGAAUAUGUGUCUUAUGAGGAAACCACGGUACGUAUAAAGAACACAACAUGGUGUCAGAAGUUGGUCUGGAAGAAUAAUUUGUUUUGCUAACAAAGGAGAAGUGAAGAUAAUUAAAAAAAAAGCACAAACAUUUUUUUUGUUUGGUAACAGCUUUAAGAAUGGAAGCUUUGCAACCCUCAUUGACACUUCAGCUGACUGGAAAUGUAGCUGAAAACUGGAAGAAGUUUAAGCAGUCGUUUAAAAAAAAAUUGGAUAGGUAUAUGGACAGGAAAAGAAUGGAGCAUAAUGGGUUGAGUCCAGGUAGAUGGGAUUAGGUGAGAGUAAGUGUUUGGCAUGGACUAGAAGGGCCGAGAUGGCCUGUUUCUGUGCUGUAAUUGUUAUAUGGUUAUAUGGUUAGUGUUUUGAAUUUUAUUUAUCAGCGAUCAGAGCAGAAAAUAAAACAGGAAAAACGAAAGCUGCUAUCCUACUCCAUGUGAUAGGGGAUGAUACAGUUGAGGUAUAUACCCAUUUUACUUUUGAAGAUGGAGAUAAUUUGGAUCUAAAAGCAAUAAUGGGAAAAUUCGAAGCAUUUUGAACACCAAAACGCAAUGUGAUGUAUGAGAGGUACAAUUUCUUUACCUGUCAGCAGAGAACUGGUCAAACGAUUGAUCACUUUGUUAUAGAAUUGAGAAACUGCAGUAAAGCAUGCGAGUUUGCAGAGCCGACGGACUCUCUCAUUAAAGACAGAAUUGUUUGCGGCAUUCUGGAUAAUGCUCUGAGAGAAAGACUCUUGAGAGAUCCCGACAUAAAUUUGGAAAAAGCUUUAAUUCUCUGCAAAGUUUUGGAAUCCGUGAUGUCACAGGCUAGAAAGCUUUUCAUUGUGAACGACUGUGUACAUGCUGUGGAAGAACACAAAUAUAUUAAAAAAAACAAUAAAGCAGCAAUGGAACUGGCAGAGAGCAAGACGUCGUCUGAAAGAAAAAAAAUUUGUGAUCACUGUGGGCACCAACUUCGACCAAAAGUGUCCAGUGUAUAGAAAAAUGUGCAAUCACUGUGGUAAGAGUAAUCAAUUUUCGUGCUGUUACAGAAGUAGAAAGGAAAUAAAACAUGUAAACGCAGUUCCUGAAAAUGAACGUGAUAUUAUAUUGAUGUGCUUUGUGAAAAUAAACAAAGUAGGAAUGACUGGACCAUGCCAUAGCAAGUGAACCAAAACAAUAUUCUGCUUAAACUGGAUACUGGAGCACAAGUAAAUGUUCUUGCAGAAUCUGAGUUUAAUAUAUUAAAGCCAACCAAAGUUACUUCAGACAAAUAUAAAAUUGACUGGGGACUGGGUGUUCAGGUGCAGAUAUUUCAGUUAAAGGAACACGUGUGGCAAAAGUGUCACACAAAAAUAUCGUGCACACGCUUUCAUUUGUGGUCGUGCCUAAGAAUGUACAGGCAAUAUUGGGUUUAUCUGCCUGUGAGAGACUGAAUUUGGUGAAAAGAGUCUUAGUCCUGGGCAGUGACACAGAGUCAGAAUACAGUGAAUUGAUGAAAGAGAGAGAGAGAGAACAGAAUAUGAUUCCAACACAGCAAAAGUAAAAGGAGUCAUAAAGAAAGCUCCCAUACCCAUCCUUUUGUUACCAGCAUCUGACAAAGCAUUGCCACCAAAACCAAAUUUGCUGGUACAGUACAAUACUGAUCUGAAGCCAAAGAGCAACAAGAAUCAGGAUCCAAUUGAAGAAGUGAAAGCACAAGAGAAGGAAUUGAGAAGUUUUAUUGAAAUGAUGAAGUCUCAGCAUAAAAAAGAGAUCACACAGUUAAUGAAUGAAUUGUGAUUUCUUCUCAAAGGCCUCAAGAAAGAGCCAACUUCAGAGUUUCUAUUAACUGAUGCAGACUAGACAAAACAUGAAAGUAACAACGAAACACAAGAACUGUGUGAACUGUGUGAAAGUCUACUCGUGUUCGUAAACACCCAGACAGACUGAUAGAGACAUGUUAAAUUAUGCAUUUGUUUUGAUUAAUGUUGCUAAUUGUUUUUCUUUUUAAGGAAAGGAAGAUUUGGUGAUAUCACGUGUCAUGUGUAAGAACAUGAUUGGAUGGAGCUAUGAGCAUGUGCAGAACUGACAGAAUAAUCUAGAAGCUUGUAUGGUUAAAAUGUGAUUGCUGUUUGCUGUUAAAGUAAAAGUUCUAGAUAUGUUCUUCUAGAAUGUGUCUUUUGAGUAUAAAGAACACAACAAUAUGGACUCACUUUUUCGGUCUCUUCAUCUCAUGUUCUUGAUAUUUUCUGCAUAUUUAUUUAUUUAUUAUUAUUAUUAUUUCUUUCCUUUUGUAUUUACACAAUUUGUUGUCUUUUGCACACUGGUUUAAAACCCAGUUAGUGUGGUUGUUCAUUGUUCCUAUUUUAGUUUUAAUUCGAUUACGAAUUUAUUGAGUAUGCGCACAAGAAAAUGAAUCUCAGGGUUGUAAAUGGUGACAUAUAUGAUAUAAGUACUUUGAUAAUAAAUUUACUUUGAACUUUGAAAAUCCAUGAUGCAUCUGCCUUUACCACCACCCCAUCAUUGAACACUAUAGCACAGUGUGAUGUUGCGCUGAACUUUUAAUCUACUCUAGGAUCUAUCUAACCCUCCCCUCUUAAAUAAUCCCUCAUUUUUCUAUCAUCCAUGUGCCUACCUAAGAGUCCCUUAAAUGUCUACAAUGUAUCUGCCUCUAUCACCAUACCAAGCAGUGUGUUCCACACAUACACCAUGCUCUGUGUAAAAAAAAAACUUAACUUUGACUUCUCUCCUUAAACUUUCCUCCAAUUACCUUAAAACUAUACCCCUUUGUGUUAGCCAUUUCCACCCUGGGAUAAAGAUUCUGGCUCUCUAUGUGAUUUAUGCCACUGUCUGUGUGGCAGGGUGGAGAUACAUCUGUACCAAAGGUGGUGUAAAGCGCUCCUUCCCUCCACCAGCCUGCAGGUUACCCUUAGGCAAGUUGUAGCACCUGCUUAUCACUCCCACCUCCCGAUCAGGGUUGUGUGAGGUCAUGGGAGCAGGCGAUGGAUCACAAGUCCUGGUUGUGCGACCACUGACGAGUAGUCAGUGGCGAAUCUGAAGAGUAUUGAUAAUGGUUGAGGUCACCCUUCUUGGAAAGAUGCUUCCUAGAAAAAGGCAGUGGGAAAGCACUUACAUAGAAAAACCUACCAAGAACAACCGUGGGGACCAUGAUCACCUAUGUCAUAUGACACAGAACAUAAUGACGACGGUGACAACACCUCCGAGAAGUCACCACCCUUUCUGUUUCACUCCGAAGAGAAAAGCCCUAGCUUGCUCAACCUAUCCUCAUAGGAUACACUCUAUAAUCCAGGAAGCAUCCUGGCAAAUCUCCUCUGCACCUUCUUAAAGCUUCUACGUCCUUCCUAUAAUGAGGCGGUCAUAACUAAGCACAGUAUUCUGAGUAUGGUCUAACUCUGGUUUAGUGGAGGGUAUAGGAGGAACCCGAGCUCUGGAAGAAACUCACCCUGUGAAUGUGCAAACUCAACACAGAAAGCAGCAGAGGUCAGGAUUGAUAGUCGGAGGCAUUUUCCCAGGGCUGAAAUGGCAAGCACGAGAGGAGGCAGUGUUAAGGUGCUUCAAAGUAGGUACAGAGGAGAUGUCAGGGGUAAGAAUUUUACGCAGAGAGUGGUGUGUGUGUGGAAUGGGCUGCCAGCAAUGGUGGUGGAGGCAGAUAUGACAGGGUCUUUUAAGACACUCCUGGAUAGGUACAUGGAGAAUAGAAAAACAGAGGGCUAUGGGCAACCCUAGUAAUUUCUAAGGUAGGGACAUGUUUGGCACAGCUUUGUAGGCUGAAGGGCCUGUAUUGUGCUGUAGGUUUUCUAUGUUUCUAUGACUCUGGAGCUGACAGGUUGCAGUGUUAACUGCUGCAUCACUUCGGAUGAAGAGGUUGGCUUCAAGUUGUGUUUAAUGAGUAGAAAGAAGUGGUGAUUUAGUGACUUAGCUCCAGAUCUCAGACCCUGUUCAAAUGAAGGAUCAGACUUGGUGGGCCAAAUAGCCUAUUCUGCUCCUAUCUCUUAUGGUCUUAUAGAAUAGGGUUAAGAGCGAUAAUAAAUCAGGCACGAUGGAAUGGUGGAUCUGGCUCGAUGGGCCCAAUUGUGGUCCUAUGUCUUACGGUCUAUCAGGUCCUUGGCAGUGGGAGAUAGAGUCAGAAAUCCACAGCCGGAGGAUUACUGCAGUCUCAGAGGGAAGUGAGGCCAGUGAGUUAAUGAUGAUGGGGAAAGAUGAAGUCAUGGUGGGAUCUGAAAGCAAUGAGAAUAUUAAAAACUGAGGGGUUGCUAGAACAGGGGUUAAUAGCUCAAUUGGACUCUAUGUGUACUGUACAUCGACAAGGGUUGGUGCACGGAUUCCUCUGUAGUGGGCAGCCACUGUUCUGUGACAAUUGAACAUCAUGCAUUUGAUCAUGAAACUUAAAGUAAAAUCCACCGAGAGGACCACCUUUGUCUCCCUUCCCCUCUAUUUGUGACAUUUGCCAGGAGCAUUGAAGAUCAAGGGUCUGAAGCUUUGUUGAGCACCCCUACCACCCAUCCCACAAUCUCUUUGACCCACUAUCAUCAGGAAGGAGGUACAGAAGUAUCAGGACUAGGACUGCCCCACUGGGUAACAGCUUCUUCCUUCAGAUUGUGAGACUAAUGAAUACCCUGCCACCACCAAGGUCUUGUCACUGGGACAGCGAGCUGUUUAUUCUUUACUCUUUACUGUUUACCUGUGCUGCAUGCUACAUGCAACUUGAAUGAUAUGUUAUUAAGAUAUUUGUGGUAAUAUUUUGUUUUAUGUGCAGUGUGUGAGACGUACAUGUUUUGUGGGUGCACCAUGGUCCAAAGGGGUGUUGUCUCAUUUUGUUGUAUGUACACACAGCCAGACGAUAAUAACUUGAACGCUGGCCACAUUGUUGGUUCAGGGAAUUUACUGCUGUGUUCAUCAUUACUGUCUACAUUCCCCCUCCCCCUGAGCAUGAACGCCAAGGACGCAAUGGGAGAGCUUUGCAAUAUCAUCAGCUUUCUACAAAAGAAGCUUCUGAACGGUCUCUUCAUAAUUACAGGAGACUUCAAUCAUGUUACUUAUUGUGCGUGUGUGUUUUUUAUUGUAUUCCUUAUUGUAUUAUAUUUUUCUAUU